AUGUCAUGCUCGAGGUAGCAACCGAACCUCGCACGGUAGGUUUGCUUCAUGAUCUGCAGCUGCGACGGCGUCCUGGAGCAGAUAACCUCGGUGGCGGCUCUCAGGUCGGUGAUGUCGCCGUUGAGAGCUUGGUUCAGUAUGGUCGCAUCACGCCCAGCAGGGUCGAGGACCCAAAGCAGCAUAGCAUUCUGCUACCACAGCCAAGCAGGAUGAGCGCGCGCUGCGCCGAGUCGCGGUGAGCAAGUAUGUUGGUCACCGUCGUGCUGUCGCAGCCGAAACCUGCACAAUACAAGACCACCACCGGCCGUUACACUGACAACAUCGAUUGUUGCUAGACAGGAUGGAAGGAAUAGUUCAUCGUUCGUUGCAUCUGUGUACCUUUGAAGGCCUUGUGGAGAGCGACGGCGUCAUCGCGCGGGGGCGUGAGCACCGGAGGCACGCUCAGGCUCGCCAUCGCUCGCCUGCGUGCCUGGACGAUGGUUUCCUUUCUGUGAGAGUGAGACUGGUGCUGCGUACGGGGGGAGCUUUUUAAAGAGGGAGACGCGAAGCUUUCCCCGUAGACGCUAGAUUCGAUUUCUCUUUGAAAAUUACAAGGAUGAGAGGCACAACCCGCUCAUUCUUUGAUUCAGAAUAUUUUGAAACAGCACUACUACCUCCGUCUGCGUUUAUUAGUUUCCAUUGUAUUUUGGGUUAAACUUUCACCACGUAUUUGACUACAAAUGUUAAGGGCACCUUUGAUUCAAAGGUUUUUCAUAGGAAUUUUCGAGGAUUAUAAUCAUUAGCAUUUUUUUUUCUAUAUUGGUUGUUUGAUUCAUAUGAUUGAAUCCUAUAGGAUUUUUCCCUAAACAUUUUUUACUACUUUUUAUUGUAUUCAAAGGUUUAUUAGUUUCCAUUGUA